GCGAAGUGAUGAUAGAAAUUCAUUUGUCUUUAAAUCCAUUGAUAUUCUUUGAUGUAAUUCAUGAAUUCCGACAGGUUCUAAUCGC